rnacentral:rRNA from 1 species
UACGAAGGGGGCUAGCGUUGCUCGGAAUCACUGGGCGUAAAGGGUGCGUAGGCGGGUCUUUAAGUCAGGGGUGAAAUCCUGGAGCUCAACUCCAGAACUGCCUUUGAUACUGAAGAUCUUGAGUCCGGGAGAGGUGAGUGGAACUGCGAGUGUAGAGGUGAAAUUCGUAGAUAUUCGCAAGAACACCAGUGGCGAAGGCGGCUCACUGGCCCGGUAUUGACGCUGAGGUGCGAAAGCGUGGGGAGUAAACAGG